CGGCGUUGAGCAGCGGGACGGUGUGUGCUUGCAAAGCGUGAUGCAGCAGAGACAAGAGGCAUCCGCAUCUUCUUCUGGUGUCCGGAGUGCUGCUCCAGCGGGUGUUUCAGACAUUCCGACAGUUGGCGGAAGGGGCCGAUCUGAAAGGGGAAUCGUGCCCUGCGUACCUGUGGAAUCUGAUUUGGUCCUAGAUGGAUCAGUCAGGUAAGGGUACCUGGAUCCGUGUGAACAGAGUUGGGUCGGGUGGUAUUUGUCCGUUUUCACAGGUCUCACCGUAUGGAUUAUCGGCCAUUCUUUCGUAUAUUGGGCCCAUCGCAGAGCUGUAAAAAGAUCGUACGGUGAUAACCUCUCUUGGUCCACAGAUACGGUUCGAAUAUACUGGAAUGGAGUCAGGGGUCUUCGUUGGGAAGGUUUGAUGGAUGUACUGUUGGAAAUGUGUGAUUUAUACCCUGA